UGUCGCUCGGGGGGGGGGGGGGGGGGGGGGGGGGGGGGGGGGGGGGGGGGGGGGGGGGGGUGCCGCUGUCGCUCAGAGCGCAGCGGGGGCCGGGGCAGCGCCGCUUCUCCUGACACUUCCCUGCUGAAACAACAACAAGCUGCCCCUGCUGCCAAACCCCAUUUGUUGGCUGGGGCAGCUACCUUUAACCUUCCUAAAGUCAACAUCUCUGCGGACAGGGUGGGGAGCAGACCCAGCAGAGCACAGGAGAGCUGGAGAAGGGGUGACAAGUGUGAAAAACGAGGAGUAAGAAUUACCUCUCCCCAAAGACCACCUUCUCAUCACAGGAGAGAAUGCAACUGUGAGGAUGUGAGGAAUGCACAGUCAGGAAUGCAAUUCAGAGAUAGACUGUAGAGGUUUCCAACAAUUAAUGCUGCACAGGGUUUUUCUCUUCUGCCAUUUGCUCUCUGCUCCUGUUUCCUCUUAGGCAGUUAGCACAUCUAAGGACUCCAGAUCAGUUUGGAAGGCAGAUAAUUCUGUGUUUGUCCAAAGUACAGCUAUACACACAUUAUGUCUUUCACUACAGGAGUAGAGGUAAAAUAUUGAGGAAUGUUUCAGAAUCUUUCCACAAACUCUUACCUGCAAUACACCCACCCCACUGGCACAAGAAAACCCCUUUUUUUCUUCUGUGUCAUCUGCCACAGACUUUUGCCUCCUUCCAUGGGCUUAGACCAGCAGGGUGUUCUUAUUUGAGAGGCAUUUGUUUCAAUAGCUUUGUGGAGUAAAAACCUAUUACCAAAUAUAAGGGUAGAAGAAACUAAACUAAUAGAGUCUUACAAUGGAAAUAUUCACAUUUGUACCAGUAAAAAAGCACUUGUACUCCCAUCUGUGCAUGCUUUAGAUUUCAUCCAAGAGGAAUAAUUUUUCAUUUUCUAGAAAGUAGAGACAAAUAGAAAAUUAACUUUUGGUACAUCUGCCACGUGUAACCACCAUUCAGGGAUGAGUUACUAAAUGCAUUGUUAGCUGCUGUUUGCAGAACAAAGAAAAGGAGCUGGAAAAUUAAUUAUAUUACAUAUAUUCUCCUCUGGUUAUUGUCAUGAUUUUUAUCAUUUGCCAAGGAUUAGAAAUUAAUCAUUAAGGACUAAUAUUUCAGUAAAAAGAUUAUUUCUCCCAGUAAUCUGUGGGGUUUUUGUCUCUUGAGCACAUAUUCAUAAAUUUAUCGAAGAGUCUAAAAACUCUGGACGCAAAUUGGUCUUCCUGUGCCUUAAAGCAUUUAGUUUUCAGAAUAAAUAACAGGUUUGUAGAAAUCCUCCAUUUCCUAUCUCUAAAAUGAGCAUAAGAAAGAUAAAAUACAGGCAAAAUAAAAGAAGUUUGCCUGUCCUCCUUAUGUCUGCAGUAAUCACUGUAUAUGUCAGGGAAAAAAGGGAGAGUUGAAAUGAUUCUGUUCUUUCUGCUGCUGAAACAUCCAGAGGACAGGAAAAUUUACUGAAUAUUUUAGAAAAAGAGAUGUAUUUCUUUUAAAUGGAGGAUGGAUUGUUCUCUAUGAAGUAAUGUGAAAUAAUGUGUUCUUUUUUUUUAAUAGCAUACCUAAGUUCCAAUCAUAAGUCUAAGGCA
rnacentral:lncRNA from 1 species